CAUGCUAGAGCACUUUUUCAAUGUGCUCCCCAAAGAGAAGGCGACAGCACAUUCGUAUGUCAAUCCAUAUCAAAUUUCGAUGACAGCGCCUACCAUGUGACCACGGGUAACGGGGAAUCAGGGUUCGAUUCCAUACAGGGACCCUGACAAACUGCUACCACAUGCAAGGAAGGCAG